rnacentral:lncRNA from 1 species
CUCAACCUUACGUGAGGAUAGAGUGCUUAACUCUCCACCCUACCCCACUACCCUCCCUAAACUUAUAAAACACAUCCCGAUUGCAUCAGACAGACACUGACAAUAACAAGGACCUGGGCCCUAGGACCAUGCCUCAGGACUACCUGGCCUGAUGACUCCUUGCUGUCCCCAGUCCACCUGGCCGUGCUGCUGCUCCAGUUUCAAUUGAUCUGCCUGUGGCUAUGGAACCCUGACCUGUUCACCGGACUUGAUACCUUGUCCCGAACCUGCUGUUUUCGACUCUCUCUCUCUACCCCACCUGCUGUCUCUAACUCUGAAUGCUCGGCUAUGAAAAGCCAACUGACAUUUACUCCUGAGGUGCUGACCUGUUGCACCCUCUACAACCACUGUGAUUAUUAUUAUUAUUUAAACCUGCUUGUCAUCUAUGAACAUUUGAACAUCUUGGCCAUGUACUGUUAUAAUCUCCACCCGGAACAGCCAGAAGAGGACUGGCCACCCCUCACAGCCUGGUUCCUCUCUACGUUUCUUCCUAGGUUCCAGCUUUUCUAGGGAGUUUUUCCUAGCCAUCAUGCUUCUACAUUUGCAUUGCUGGCUGUUUGGGGUUUUAGGCUGGGAUUUUGUAUAGCACUUUGUGACAUCGGCUGAAAAAGGGCAUUAUAAAUAAAUGUGACUGAUUGAUUGAUCGAUUGAAUUGAGUGUAUUUACAAUUCAUACAGCUGGAGUGGAGAGUAUUUACAAUUCAUACAGCUGGAGUGGAGCGUAUUUACAAUUCAUACAGCUGGAGUGGAGCGUAUUUACGACUCAUACAGCUGGAGUGGAGCGUAUUUACAAUUCAUACAGCUGGAGUGGAGAGUAUUUAAAAUUCAUACAGCUGGAGUGGAGCAUAUUUACAAUUCAUACAGCUGGAGUGGAGCGUAUUUACAAUUCAUAGAGCUGGAGUGGAGUGUAUUUUUGGUUCAAAGCAUAUCUGUGCUCCAGUCUCUCUCUCUCUCUGUGUGUGUGUGUGUGUGUGUGUGUGUGUGUGUGUGUGUGUGUGUGUGUGUGUGUGUGUGUGUGUGUGUG